UACGGAGGGUGCAAGCGUUAAUCGGAAUCACUGGGCGUAAAGCGCACGUAGGCUGUCUGGUAAGUCAGGCGUGAAAGCCCUCGGCUCAACCGAGGAACUGCGUUUGAAACUGCUAGACUUGAGUGCCGGAGAGGGUGGCGGAAUUCCAGGUGUAGGAGUGAAAUCCGUAGAUAUCUGGAGGAACACCGGUGGCGAAGGCGGCCACCUGGACGGCAACUGACGCUGAGGUGCGAAAGCGUGGGGAGCAAACAGG
rnacentral:rRNA from 1 species